GAUGAACGCUGGCGGCGUGCCUAAUACAUGCAAGUCGAGCGAACGGACGAGAAGCUUGCUUCUCUGAUGUUAGCGGCGGACGGGUGAGUAACACGUGGAUAACCUACCUAUAAGACUGGGAUAACUUCGGGAAACCGGCGCUAAUACCGGAUAAUAUUUUGAACCGCAUGGUUCAAAAGUGAAAGACGGUCUUGCUGUCACUUAUAGAUGGAUCCGCGCUGCAUUAGCUAGUUGGUAAGGUAACGGCUUACCAAGGCAACGAUGCAUAGCCGACCUGAGAGGGUGAUCGGCCACACUGGAACUGAGACACGGUCCAGACUCCUACGGGAGGCAGCAGUAGGGAAUCUUCCGCAAUGGGCGAAAGCCUGACGGAGCAACGCCGCGUGAGUGAUGAAGGUCUUCGGAUCGUAAAGCUCUGUUAUUAGGGAAGAACAUAUGUGUAAGUAACUGUGCACAUCUUGACGGUACCUAAUCAGAAAGCCACGGCUAACUACGUG
rnacentral:rRNA from 1 species